GAGGCUUCGCUGAACCUUCUUGCACGAAUUCAGACAUGUCUGUCGUACUGUGGUUGUCUGAUUGUCUUUGAGCUCUAGACCUGAUGACAAUCUCGCAUUUUUUGUUUUAUAUAACUGAGCUGAAUUUCACUUGAUGCAAUGUGACAUGGUUGUGCUCGAUAAUAUUAGCUG
rnacentral:sRNA from 1 species